GUGGGUAGUUUGACUGGGGCGGUCUCCUCCUAAAGAGUAACGGAGGAGCACGAAGGUUGGCUAAUCCUGGUCGGACAUCAGGAGGUUAGUGCAAUGGCAUAAGCCAGCUUGACUGCGAGCGUGACGGCGCGAGCAGGUGCGAAAGCAGGUCAUAGUGAUCCGGUGGUUCUGAAUGGAAGGGCCAUCGCUCAACGGAUAAAAGGUACUCCGGGGAUAACAGGCUGAUACCGCCCAAGAGUUCAUAUCGACGGCGGUGUUUGGCACCUCGAUGUCGGCUCAUCACAUCCUGGGGCUGAAGUAGGUCCCAAGGGUAUGGCUGUUCGCCAUUUAAAGUGGUACGCGAGCUGGGUUUAGAACGUCGUGAGACAGUUCGGUCCCUAUCUGCCGUGGGCGCUGGAGAACUGAGGGGGGCUGCUCCUAGUACGAGAGGACCGGAGUGGACGCAUCACUGGUGUUCGGGUUGUCAUGCCAAUGGCACUGCCCGGUAGCUAAAUGCGGAAGAGAUAAGUGCUGAAAGCAUCUAAGCACGAAACUUGCCCCGAGAUGAGUUCUCCCUGAGACUUAAAGUCUCCUGAAGGAACGUUGAAGACGACGACGUUGAUAGGCCGGGUGUGUAAGCGCAGCGAU
rnacentral:rRNA from 1 species